GCGUUGUAUGAAAGGAGAGAAAGUUAGCACUCCCCUUGACAAAGAUGGAAGAGGUUCCAGUGGACAUUAACUCACAUAUGGAUAAGGCAUUGCCACCUACUCUGUGGCAUCUCUAACCAAAUUUUUUU